UACUGAGUGGGACUCUGAAGUGAC
rnacentral:piRNA from 1 species